CCUGUCGAGCUUGCUCACGGGCUUUCUAUCAUAUCCAUAACACCUGUGCACUUGUUGGAUGAUCUAAAGACAUAGGGUAAAACCUAAAGUCAAUAGUCAUCCACUUACACUAAACAAUAAUGUAACAAAUGUAGUCUUAUUAUAACAAAAUAAAACUUUCAACAACGGAUCUCUUGGCUCUCGCAUCGAUGAAGAACGCAGCGAAAUGCGAUAAGUAAUGUGAAUUGCAGAAUUCAGUGAAUCAUCGAAUCUUUGAACGCACCUUGCGCUCCUUGGUAUUCCGAGGAGCAUGCCUGUUUGAGUGUCAUGAAAACCCUCAACCUUAGAUUGGUUAUUUGACCUUUCUUUGGCUUGGAUUUGGACGUUUGCCGAUGUCAAGUCGGCUCGUCUUAAAAGUAAUAGCUGGAUCUGUCUCGCGACAUGGUUUGACUUGGCGUAAUAAGUAUUUCGCUAAGGACAUCUUCGGAUGGCCCUGUUGCAGGACUAAAGACCGCUUUCUAAUCCAUUGAUCUUCGGAUUAAUAUUCAUAACAUCUGGCCUCAAAUCAGGUAGGACUACCCGCUGAACUUAAGCAUAUCAAUAAGCGGAGGA
rnacentral:rRNA from 2 species